rnacentral:rRNA from 1 species
UUAGAGUUUGAUCCUGGCUCAGGAUGAACGCUGGCGGCAUGCCUAAUACAUGCAAGUCGAACGAGAUGAGAAGAAGCUUGCUUCUUUGAAUCUAGUGGCGAACGGGUGAGUAACACGUAGGUAACCUGCCCAUGUGCCCGGGAUAACUUCUGGAAACGGAUGCUAAAACCGGAUAGGUAGCAGACAAGCAUUUGACUGCUAUUAAAGUGGCCUUGGCCAUGAACAUGGAUGGACCUGCGGUGCAUUAGCUGGUUGGUGAGGUAACGGCCCACCAAGGCGACGAUGCAUAGCCGGCCUGAGAGGGCGGACGGCCACAUUGGGACUGAGACACGGCCCAAACUCCUACGGGAGGCAGCAGUAGGGAAUUUUCGUCAAUGGGGGGAACCCUGAACGAGCAAUGCCGCGUGAGUGAGGAAGGUCUUCGGAUCGUAAAGCUCUGUUGUAAGAGAAAAACGGCACUCAUAGGGAAUGAUGAGUGAGUGAUGGUAUCUUACCAGAAAGUCACGGCUAACUACGUGCCAGCAGCCGCGGUAAUACGUAGGUGGCGAGCGUUAUCCGGAAUGAUUGGGCGUAAAGGGUGCGUAGGUGGCAGAUCAAGUCUGGAGUAAAAGGUAUGGGCUCAACCCGUACUGGCUCUGGAAACUGAUCAGCUAGAGAACAGAAGAGGACGGCGGAACUCCAUGUGUAGCGGUAAAAUGCGUAGAUAUAUGGAAGAACACCGGUGGCGAAGGCGGCCGUCUGGUCUGGAUUCUGACACUGAAGCACGAAAGCGUGGGGAGCAAAUAGGAUUAGAUACCCUAGUAGUCCACGCCGUAAACGAUGAGAACUAGGUGUUGGGGGAAUAACUCAGUGCCGCAGUUAACGCAGUAAGUUCUCCGCCUGGGGAGUAUGCACGCAAGUGUGAAACUCAAAGGAAUUGACGGAA